rnacentral:lncRNA from 12 species
CAGGUGAGACGCGGCCCUCCUUCGCCCGGGGGGUCCCCCCUGUACAUCUGGCACCCACCUCACAGGUGAACCUUCCCGCUCCUCGAUGAUGACGGAUCAUCUCCUGUUGCUAAGUAGGACACCCAUUUGAAGAAAAUACUUGGUUAUACAACUAAAAAAAUGGACUCUCACAAGAAUGAGUUUUUCAUUGGAAAUGGUGUAUUUCAUGAGAGCCACUGAUGGCUAAAUAAAGACUAAAUGUGCUUGUAAAUUAUUUACUUU